rnacentral:rRNA from 1 species
UGGGGGAAGGUGAAGCAGCAACGCCGCGUGAGUGAUGAAGGCCUUCGGGUGUAAAGCUGCUUUUUUGGGGAAGAAAGGGGGCUUUGCUAAUACCACUUUUGCUUGACGGUACCCUCGGAGGAAGCCCGGGCUAACUCCUUGCCACCGGCCCCGGUAUUA